rnacentral:tRNA from 1 species
GGAGAGGUCGUAUAGCGGUCUAGUACGGAAGUCUUGAAAACUUCUAGCUCGCAAGGGCUCGUGGGUUCGAAUCCCACCCUCUCCGCCA